rnacentral:tRNA from 1 species
GCGGACGUGGCGAAACUGGUAGACGCGCUGGCUUCAGAGCCCAGUACCUGUGAGAGUUCGAAUCUCUUCGUCCGCACCA